rnacentral:rRNA from 1 species
UACGUAGGUGGCGAGCGUUGUCCGGAUUUACUGGGCGUAAAGAGCGCGCAGGCGGCUGGGCAAGUCCGAUGUGAAAGCUUCCGGCUUAACUGGAAAAUUGCAUCGGAAACUGCUCGGCUUGAAGGUGGGAGAGGGUAGCGGAAUUCCCGGUGUAGUGGUGAAAUGCGUAGAUAUCAGGAGGAACACCGGUGGCGAAGGCGGAUCUCUGGGCCGAUACUGACGCUGAGGAGCGAAAGCGUGGGGAGCGAACAGG